CUCUCGCUUUAAUUUCUCAGCAGUUGUUAUAUCUUUGCAGCUUUCAUGGAGGCGAUAUGGUUCAAUCAUCUCUUCAAAGAAUUUCCAGCUGAAACAGGAAUUACAAAGGAGGCCUUGCUGCAGGCUAAUACAGCUGGAGGUGGAGCUUCCCGAGCAACUGUUUUACCAACUCCCUAACCUCUGCCUAGGAGCAUUAAUUCUGUAGUCUGUAGAUCUUCUCAAUACCUGUGGGAGUUGCAGGCACAGCUAGAUGUAAUAGUCUCUGCAGGUGAAAAUACUGAAAAUACUUGUCUGUGUACAAGCAUGGCUUCAGAGACUGGAAGUAUUGUCUCAUACAACUGCUGUACUACAAGAGGAGAAGGAGGACCUGACAGAAUGGCCAUGGCAAGAGAGUUGGGCACCCUUGGACCUCCUUUCCCUUUCUCCUCAAACUCCUUUCCUUUGUCACCGCUGCAAACCUGCAGCUUUUCCUUUGAGCAGCAGUAGUGACAUGGGAUUGGGUCAUACUUGCUUUCAUUAAAUGCUCUGUUUGCUCUGCCCUUGCUAUGACCCUGAAUAGAAAAAGCAGGUCUCUGCUGCUUCUUGUGAGUAUAAACGUGAGCUUU